rnacentral:rRNA from 1 species
CCUACGGGAGGCAGCAGUGAGGAAUAUUGGUCAAUGGACGGAAGUCUGAACCAGCCAUGCCGCGUGCAGGAAGACGGCCCUAUGAGUUGUAAACUGCUUUUGUACGGGGGUAAAUCCCCAUACGUGUAUCGCUUUGCAAGUAUCGUACGAAUAAGGAUCGGCUAACUCCGUGCCAGCAGCCGCGGUCAUACGGAGGAUUCGGGCGUUAUCCGGAUUUAUUGGGUUUAAAGGGUGCGUAGGCGGUUCGAUAAGUUAGCGGUGAAAUGCCGGGGCUCAACGCCGGCACUGCCUCUGAUACUGGCGGGCUAGAGUUUAGGUGAGGUAGGCGGAAUGUGUGGUGUAGCGGUGAAAUGCAUAGAGAGC